AGCAGCCGCGGUAAUUCCAGCUCCAAUAGCGUAUAUUAAAGUUGCUGCAGUUAAAAAGCUCGUAGUUGAAUUUCGGGACCAUCAUGUUGGCCGUGCCUCGGUACGUACUGGCAUUGUUGGUUUCUCCCUUCUGACGAACCAUGAUGUCAUUUAUUUGGUGUUGUGGGAAAUCAGGACUGUUACUUUGAAAAAAUUAGAGUGUUUAAAGCAGGCUCACGCUUGAAUACAUUAGCAUGGAAUAAUGAAAUAGGACGUUUGAUUCUAUUUUGUUGGUUUCUAGGAUCGACGUAAUGAUUAAUAGGGAUAGUUGGGGGCAUUAGUAUUCAAUUGUCAGAGGUGAAAUUCUUGGAUUUAUUGAAGACUAACUACUGCGAAAGCAUUUGCCAAGGAUGUUUUCAUUAAUCAAGAACGAAAGUUAGGGGAUCGAAGACGAUCAGAUACCGUCGUAGUCUUAACCAUAAACUAUGCCGACUAGGGAUCGGAUGAUGUUAAUUUUUUAAUGACUCA
rnacentral:rRNA from 1 species